CUCACAUGAGUUACAUAUUUAUGUGUCCAGGUAGAUUAGCAGAUACCUAAGGAGGGAGAGAGCUGGGACCACGGAAAGUAAAGCCCGGCGUAGCUUGUCUGAAAGGAGGAAGGAAAGGAGCUUGAAAUAGGGCUGAAACCACAGAGCAUCUUCCAGAAAAGAAGCAGCUGGCAGGGCCCCCGGCCUCCCCAGGGCCAGCAGGGCUGCCAGCACGGAGCAGCAGCAGGAGGUGCGAUGAACGCAGUCCUAGAGGGGGGGUCUCUGGCUCCCAGCACACGUGCUCCCCGGAGACCCCAACCCCAGCGCCGCCCACCAUCACCAAAUCCAGUCUGAGAGAGAUUUUGGCAAGCGCCCCUCGCUCGGGAAGGCCGCCCAGCCGGGCGUGGAAGUGUGAGCUGUAGAAACGGCGAGAAAUCACUCCAGCAGUUUGCUCUCACGAGUCCUGACACCUCCCACUUAUCGUCUGUCUCUGUCACAUUAAAUCGAAAGCCGUGGGAGAUGUGACCCCCAAACCAAGACGUCGUCAGCAGGUGACUGAGCCGGGAGGUUUGUCUCCACACAGGCAGCGCCCGAGAGCGGUUUCCAUGUAGAACAUGACAAAUCCGUGCAAGGGGAGGCCGAAUGCUAAGGAGCUCUUGGUAUGGGCUCAUUUGCAGCAGAAAUGGAGGAAGUGGCUGGAAAGGGGUGGCGUGUAAUGGGAAGGAAACACCAAACACAAGAGUCUACGUCUCCAUCAGAUGCUUUCAGGCCCCAGUCUGCACACACCCGCGUGAGAGGCUCCCAUCGUGAGACCAUCAGAAUCCCUGCAAGAAGCUGCGGACGCACAGCCGCGCGCUGUGGUGGCCCUGCCUGGCGUCCAGCGUCCGGAGCCCUUGCACAUCUGGGGAGACUUGGUCACCGCUGGGCCUCAGAGCCUCACGGGUGACGGCGGACGAGACCCAGAGGACCCUCAUCAGAGGAGGAGAUGGGCAGAGGGACGUGAGAACGACAGCACGCGGUGGCCAAGGAGUCACCGCCGGCGCAUCGUGGAGGCGCGGUUGUAAAUUAAAAUAGCGAACGCAAGGUGGCUUCAACCUUUUGGCUUCUAAGAUACAAACAGACGAAACAAUGUUCCCGUAUAUGCUUGAGGUGUGCACGCAGGUGCGCGGCUGCGUACAAGGAAAGUGUGGGGGUGAUGCUGUUUCUUGGGGGUGAAGGAGGUCGAGGGGCGCAGGGCCCAUCGUUCUCACGGAGCCGGACACAGCUCAGAGCGGCAUCUCCACAGGAGCCCGAGCCCACGGCCACCUGUCCUCCCCGGGCUUCGGCUGCCCCUUCUCCCCGGGCUGUGCACGGGCUGCGCAACCCCACGUCCCCGUGGGAGCCCCGGCUGGUCC
rnacentral:lncRNA from 12 species